rnacentral:lncRNA from 1 species
GUUUUGUAGUUGCUCUACUUUUUUGCAGCACAACAAAUAGCCCUAGAACUUAGUGGUUUAAAACAGCAGACAUAAAAUUAAAUCUCACAACUUGGUGGACCAGGACAUUGAGCAGGGUUCAGCUCGGUAAUUUUUCUGCUUCAGUGGUACCACUUCAUGGUAUGCACAGAUGGGCAGACAUAGGAGAUCCAUGAUGGCUUUACUUUCAUGUCUGGUGCCUUUGAGAGGAAGACUGGAAGGCUGGGUUCAACUGAGCACUUGCGUGUGACCUGGUCACUGUGGCACUUUCUCGGUUGUCAGAUAUCUUACAUGGAAUCACAGAUUUUCAAAGAACGUGUCCUAAGAGGUCCAGAUGGAAGCUUCAAAGACACUGAAGAACUAACUUUGGAAGUGCCAGAAUGCUGCUUCAGCCUCAUUUUACUAGGCAAGCAACUUGCUAUCGUCAGCUGGGAUUCAAAGUGAGGAGAAUUAGACCACGGAAGAGGCCAUAUGUCAUCUAUCUCAGUGGUUAUCCUUUUAAAAGGAGAUACCUUCUAGAGGUGAUAAUGAAGAUUUUAAAAAAUGUUCACUCCUAAUGGGGAUAUUGUCUUUCUGCUGGCUGCUGGACAAGUGUAAUUCCAAUUCUGGAUUGGUGGUCUGAGUCACAAAGUUGGCUUCCAUGAUUUGUAGAGGAAAUCUCAUGAAUCCUCUGUCUGGACAUGCCUUUCUAACAACAAUAAACUUCUCCUUAGAAAAUAAACAAUGUGAAAUUGUCUAAAGGAGAUACAUAGAGACAAGUAUAAUUAUAGAAAGCCCCAGGGAAAUAUUUAGGUCCAAAAAAUGGUAUCGUUUUUUUUAUGGAGAGAGAGUUGAUAGAACAUAAACUGAAAAUGAAUAGUAACUACGUCUGUAGGACUUACAAGCCUUAAUAUUUUAGUUAGGAAAUAUGCUAAUGUACAAUCUAUGGCAUGUGGUAUAGACUUUAAAUGCAUAUGUCUUAGUAUUACACCAACAUAGUCUGUUAAGAAUCCUCAAUCAGAACAAAUCGCAAAUGAAGACAAAGCAUAAGUCACAAUCUAAGACUUUAAUCAGAACAGAUUUUUAAAGGUCUUUCGGGAGUUGCCUAAGGUUAUAUACUUCACCAAUGGAGGUGAGAGGGCAAAGCUGAAAAUGAGAUCACCAGACUCCUCUCUUAGUGCUCCUUCUACUUAGUAUUCUCUAUUCCUUUCCUUAAAUCCAACUGAAAACUACUUCAAUAAAGUCUCAGUUAUUCACUCCUAAUUAAUUCCUUGCGAAUGAACUGUAUGAUUAUUUUGUGUUGGUUGGGCAGUCUUCUA